rnacentral:snRNA from 1 species
AUACUUACCUGCAAGGGAGAUACUGUGAUCAAGAAGGCAGUUCACGCCAGGGCGAGGCUCAGCCAUUGCACUCCGGCUGUGCUGACCCCUGCGAAUUUCCCAAAUGUGGAAAUCUCGAUUGCAUAAUUUAUGGUAGUGGGGGACUGCGUUCGCGCUCUCCCCUG